CCUACGGGAGGCAGCAGUAGGGAAUUUUCCACAAUGGGCGAAAGCCUGAUGGAGCAACGCCGCGUGAACGAUGAAGGUCUUCGGAUUGUAAAGUUCUGUUGUCAGGGACGAACAAGUACCGUUCGAACAGGGCGGUACCUUGACGGUACCUGACGAGAAAGCCCCGGCUAACUACGUGCCAGCAGCCGCGGUAAU
rnacentral:rRNA from 1 species